rnacentral:lncRNA from 1 species
CUACAUCCCAUUCGGUCCCUGCCCUUGGCUGUCUCACAAGAUGGCUGUGCCUUCAGAGCCCUCUGUCUACCAUGAAGUGUCUGACACUGUAGCCGAGUCCCUGAGGUGCUGUCCCAUUAAACUGCUGCACUUCUCAACCAGAAGAGAGGAGAAGGCCUGCACACCAAGGAUGUGGAGCAGUGGAGACCAUCUCAGAAUGUCCAGCGUUUCCCCUCAGAGGUCUGCCAUUUUCAUUACUAACUGCCAUUUAGAGCAACCAGACUAAAGGAUAUCUGCUGUAUGUAAUAAUCCCCAGUUUCUACUGGAGGCAGAAAUGGCACCAAGAACGAGUAAAUGCCCACAGAUUUUCGAGAAAAUUUCCCGGUUUAUUUCAGACAAAUUGCCAACAGCCGAAUAUUCCAGUUUAUUCAAUGAUUUUGUUGAGUCUGAAUUUUUUCUCAUUGAUGGGGAUUCAUUACUUAUCACAUGUAUAUGUGAGAAAUUAUUAGAGCCUGGACAGAGUCUCCAUUUCUUCUACCUGGUUGAACGCUAUCUCAUGGAUCUUUUUAAUAAAGGAGGGCAAUUUACCAUAAUUUUCUUCCAGGAUGCUGAGUACACAUAUUUCAGCUCUCCUGAACUUCUUCCUUUGAGAACUGCUUUAAUUCUUCAUCUUCAGAAAAAUACCUGCAUUAAUGUUUGUACUCAAUUUACUGGAUGCUUAUCAAAGGAGUGGAAAAUGUUCUUGGAUCAGAAUUACCCGUAUUUCCUGAUAGUUGCAGAUGAAGGCCUGAACCCUCUGCAAACCCAAAUUUUCAACCUUUUAAUCAUUCAGUGUUGGUCUAUGAGAGUCAAUGUUGUGCUUUUCUCUGGGCAAACAUCUGAUAUUCUUCGACUUUAUGCAUACUUUCUGCCAAGUCUAUACAGGAACCAGAACUUUUUCAAGGAGAAUGAAAAUGAGAUUCAAAUUGCUUAUAAAAAGCUCCUUAGAAAAUUGAGAAAAUACAGAGUUCUACCUUUAGCACCUCUUUUUAAAAACUUUGCAUUGAAACAUAUGAUGGAAGAGGCAUAUGAAACUGUAUCUCUGCUCCAACAAGUCUGGCCAAAAGGAUCUGACAUUCGACGUGUCAUUUGUGUCACUUCAUGCUCACUGGCUUUGGGAAUGUACCAUCGCUUCUUAGAAAACAGAAGAAAGACCCCCUCUGAAGAGACAACUGAUAACAAAACGGUGAACAGUGAUUACUUAACCCUGCGGGAUGUGGAAGAUCUGUGCAAACUGCAUUGUCUCAGUGUGGUUUUUCUACUACACGUACCUCUGUCUCAGAGAGCUUGCUCUAGAUUCAUCACUUCCAGUUGGACUGAAGACACUCAGAUAUUCUUUAAAAUGGUGAAUAUAAUCUUUACUGAUUUAGCGUGUGAUGUGUAAAACUCAACUGUGUGAUGUGUAAAAUCAACGAUAGCUUUCAAAACAGAUUGAUAUGGCAACAGUGACCUCAAUGAAUCAGUUGACUAAUUCCAACAACUAGCUUUGUUGGUAACAAAUAGCAUGAUUUAUA